rnacentral:tRNA from 1 species
GCGCUCGUGGCGGAAUGGCAGACGCGCACGUUUGAGGGGCGUGUGAGCAAUCGUACCGGUUCAAGUCCGGUCGAGCGCACCA